rnacentral:rRNA from 1 species
UACGUAGGGUGCGAGCGUUGUCCGGAAUUAUUGGGCGUAAAGGGCUCGUAGGCGGUUUGUCGCGUCGGGAGUGAAAACCUUGGGCUUAACUCAGGGCUUGCUUUCGAUACGGGCAGACUAGAGGUAUGCAGGGGAGAACGGAAUUCCUGGUGUAGCGGUGAAAUGCGCAGAUAUCAGGAGGAACACCGGUGGCGAAGGCGGGUCUCUGGGCAGUUACUGACGCUGAGGAGCGAAAGCGUGGGGAGCGAACAGG